GUUUGCCAUGUCUCCAGCACGAUUCCACCAACUUUGGUUUCCAUUCCCUCCAUUUCUUAUGUCAGUAGGAGACUGACAGAAGCUGUCAGGAGGAGACUGGGGGUUGCUGGUUCCUUCUGCCCUAGGGACAAUAUUCCCUCAACCCCUCAAAGCAGCAAGAUUUAUGCAAGCCUUCUGUGACAGCAGAGCUUCUGUCCUAUCAGUAGCCUUAUCAAAUCUGUCCUAUAGCCC
rnacentral:lncRNA from 1 species